rnacentral:lncRNA from 1 species
UUUUUCGUGUUUCUUGUCUCUCCCCCCCCACUCUCUCUCUCCUGCCCUAGGUCCCCGAUGAUUAUCUCUGCAGGUCGGGGCAAACUGGUACCCAACCUGGGACCUCUGGGUCUGGGGCCUGAGAGAGACCACUCUUUGCACUGACCCAUCGCUUCAUCAGGAAGUGAGUGAAGGUCCUCUCAGAGAUCGCUGCAGUGUCACCCAUACAGUGAGACUGAUCCAAGAAAGCACUUUUCUCCAAGACACUGCUACCCACUGAGAGGCUGAACCUGUCUUCCUGAGAUGUUCCUGAAUAAGCAAAAGCCUGGCGACCCAAUGAUGACAGUCUGGUGACAAAGUAUCAAGAACCUGGCAUGAUGGGGGAUGGGCCUUCCCCCUUUAUAAGCUCAGACUCUUAAGUAAACUUUAGGCCUUGAUCAGUAGUA